rnacentral:rRNA from 1 species
CCUACGGGCGGCAGCAGUGAGGAAUAUUGGUCAAUGGGCGAGAGCCUGAACCAGCCAAGUCGCGUGAGGGAGUACUGCCCUAUGGUUUGUAAACCUCUUUUGUCGGGGAGCAAAAGCCGGACGUGUCCGGCUGUGAGAGUACCCGAAGAAAAAGCAUCGGCUAACUCCGUGCCAGCAGCCGCGGUACUAAGGGGGAUGCGAGCGUUAUCCGGAUUUAUUGGGGUUAAAGGGUGAGCAGGGGGAUUUUUAAGUCAGCGGUAAAAUCGUGGGGCUCAACCCCAUCCAGCCGUUGAAACUGGGGAUCUAGAGUGUGCGAGAGGGAUGCGGAAUGCGUGGUGUAGCGGUGAAAUGCAUAGAUAUCACGCAGAACCCCGAUUGCGAAGGCAGCAUACCGGUGCACAACUGACGCUCAGGCACGAAAGCGUGGGUAUCGAACAGGAUUAGAUACCCGUGUAGUC